rnacentral:rRNA from 1 species
GGCAUCGCUCUGAUGUAUAUAUUAAGUUGUUGCAGUUAAAAAGCUCGUAGUUGAAACUUGGGUGCGUAGGGGCGGUCUCUUUUAGAGUACUACCCUGAAACAUCUUUCUUUGGUGUAAACUCUUUAUUCACUUAAGGAGUGUAAACCAAACAUUUACUUUGAAAAAAUUAGAGUGUUCAAAGCAGGCCUUUGCUCGAAUAUAUUAGCAUGGAAUAAUAGAAUAGGACGUAUGGUUCUAUUUUGUUGGUUUCUAGGACCGUCGUAAUGAUUAAUAGGGACGGUCGGGGGCAUCAGUAUUCAGUUGUCAGAGGUGAAAUUCUUGGAUUUACUGAAGACUAACUACUGCGAAAGCAUUUGCCAAGGACGUUUUCAUUAAUCAAGAACGAAAGUUAGGGGAUCGAAGACGCA